UGGGGAAUAUUGCGCAAUGGGGGGAACCCUGACGCAGCCAUGCCGCGUGAAUGAAGAAGGCCUUAGGGUUGUAAAGUUCUUUCGGUAUUGAGGAAGGUUGAUGUGUUAAUAGCACAUCAAAUUGACGUUAAAUACAGAAGAAGCACCGGCUAGCUCCGUGCCAGCAGCCGCGGUAAUACGGAGGGUGCGAGCGUUAAUCGGAAUAACUGGGCGUAAAGGGCACGCAGGCGGUUAUUUAAGUGAGGUGUGAAAGCCCCGGGCUUAACCUGGGAAUUGCAUUUCAGACUGGGUAACUAGAGUACUUUAGGGAGGGGUAGAAUUCCACGUGUAGCGGUGAAAUGCGUAGAGAUGUGGAGGAAUACCGAAGGCGAAGGCAGCCCCUUGGGAAUGUACUGACGCUCAUGUGCGAAAGCGUGGGGAGCAAACAGGAUUAGAUACCCUGGUAGUCCACGCUGUAAACGCUGUCGAUUUGGGGGUUGGGGUUUAACUCUGGCGCCCGUAGCUAACGUGAUAAAUCGACCGCCUGGGGAGUACGGCCGNNGNUA
rnacentral:rRNA from 1 species